UACGUAGGGUGCGAGCGUUAAUCGGAUUUACUGGGCGUAAAGCGUGCGCAGGCGGCCCGUUAAGACAGGUGUGAAAUCCCUGGGCUCAACCUAGGAAUUGCGCUUGUGACUGGCGGGCUCGAGUACGGUAGAGGGGGGUGGAAUUCCUGGUGUAGCAGUGAAAUGCGUAGAGAUCAGGAGGAACACCUAUGGCGAAGGCAGCCCCCUGGGCCUGUACUGACGCUCAUGCACGAAAGCGUGGGGAGCAAACAGG
rnacentral:rRNA from 1 species